rnacentral:tRNA from 1 species
GGGAGGUUAGCUCAAUUGGUAAGAGCAGAGGUCUCAUAAACCUUUGGUUACGGGUUCAAGUCCCGUGUUUCCCA